GGUGAAAUCAACAUAUAAUGAUUAAAUGAAAAAGAGAUAUGGUUUGGACUAGUCUUGUCAUAUAGAAUAGUCCGUCAGGAGCUUAUGCCUAAGACAGCCGGUCAGGAGCUUAUGCCUGGGACAGCCAGCCAGGAGCUUAUGCCUGGGACAGCCCUAUUGGCUUAUAUGUGGAUCAGUCGGUUAGGAGUUUAUGUCUGGGACAGCCCGCCAGGAGCUUAUGCUUGGGACAGCCUUAAGAGGCUUAUGAGUGAAAUUUUGAUCGGAUGAAAAUUGAGGCAUAGUGUUAGUUAGUCCAAAGCCAGAAAAAAAAAGAUUAAAGAUUAUGUAAUAAUGAAAGAGAAAAGAAAGACAAGAUAUGAAACAAUCGUUGAACAAAAGUAUUUCACCCGUUAAUAUAUGAUGAUGCAUCUCUUUUGACAA
rnacentral:lncRNA from 1 species